GCCUGGGUGGCUCAGUCGGUUGAGCGUCCGACUUCGGUUCAGGUCAUGAUCUCGCGGUACAUGAGUUCAAGCCCCAUGUCAGGCU
rnacentral:tRNA from 1 species